rnacentral:misc_RNA from 1 species
AUGAUUUUUUAAGCAAACCAAGCUUUUUUUUUUAUAAAAAGUGAGGUUUUGCGAAUGUAUUUAAAACCCCCACUCUUAAAAAAUAUAUAUUUCAUUCAUAUAAAAUGAAUAAAAAAAUA